GAAACGACUGCUAAGACUGGAUAGGAGACAAGUAGGCAUCUUCCUGUUUUUAAAAGACCUAGCAAUAGGUAUGCUUAGGGAGGAGCUUGCGUCACAUUAGUUAGUUGGUGGGGUAAAGGCCUACCAAGACUAUGAUGUGUAGCCGGGCUGAGAGGUUGAACGGCCACAUUGGGGCUGAGACACGGCCCAAACUCCUACGGGAGGCAGCAGUAGGGAAUUUUCGGCAAUGGAGGAAACUCUGACCGAGCAACGCCGCGUGAACGAUGAAGUAUUUCGGUACGUAAAGUUCUUUUAUUAGGGAAGAAUAAAUGAUGGAAAAAUCAUUCUGACGGUACCUAAUGAAUAAGCCCCGGCUAACUAUGUGCCAGCAGCCGCGGUAAUACAUAGGGGGCAAGCGUUAUCCGGAAUUAUUGGGCGUAAAGGGUGCGUAGGCGGUUAAAUAAGUUUAUGGUCUAAGUGCAAUGCUCAACAUUGUGAUGCUAUAAAAACUGUUUAGCUAGAGUAAGAUAGAGGCAAGUGGAAUUCCAUGUGUAGUGGUAAAAUGCGUAAAUAUAUGGAGGAACACCAGUAGCGAAGGCGGCUUGCUGGGUCUUUACUGACGCUGAGGCACGAAAGCGUGGGGAGCAAACAGGAUUAGAUACCCUGGUAGUCCACGCCGUAAACGAUGAGUACUAAACGUUGGGUAAAACCAGUGUUGAAGUUAACACAUUAAGUACUCCGCCUGAGUAGUACGUACGCAAGUAUGAAACUUAAAGGAAUUGACGGGACUCCGCACAAGCGGUGGAUCAUGUUGUUUAAUUCGAAGGUACCCGAAAAACCUCACCAGGUCUUGACACGCUUCUGCAAAGCUGUAGAAACACAGUGGAGGUUAUCAGUUGCACAGGUGGUGCAUGGUUGUCGUCAGCUCGUGUCGUGAGAUGUUGGGUUAAGUCCCGCAACGAGCGCAACCCUUAUUGUUAGUUACCAGCACGUAAUGGUGGGGACUUUAGCAAGACUGCCAGUGAUAAAUUGGAGGAAGGUGGGGACGACGUCAAAUCAUCAUGCCCCUUAUGACCUGGGCUACAAACGUGAUACAAUGGCUGUUACAAAGGGUAGCUGAAGCGCAAGUUUUUGGCGAAUCUCAAAAAAACAGUCUCAGUUCGGAUUGAAGUCUGCAACUCGACUUCAUGAAGUUGGAAUCGCUAGUAAUCGCGAAUCAGCAUGUCGCGGUGAAUACGUUCUCGGGGUUUGUACACACCGCCCGUCA
rnacentral:rRNA from 1 species